GUGUGUGUGUGUAUGUGUGUGUGUGUGUGUGUGUCUUCCACAUUCCCCAGAUGUGUAUUCUACCAAUGAAAGUAUGGUGAUCAGACUCAUCAAUUGUCAUAAUUGACCUGACAGAUGUCGCGUUCACAUGCUUUAGUGAUAUACCUGUUCACUCAUCGCCACCCAGGGGCCAGUGUAGGAACAUACAGUAGGCGAAGGCUGUUGUUUCAAAAUCUCUGUGUGUGUGUGUGUGAGAGUGUGUGUGUGUGUGCCGUUGUUACCAAUUGCUUGUGAUAUAAUGAACAGAUUAGGUAUUUUUGACUAGACUGUUCAUGUUUUUUAUUUGUUUCCCCUUUUUAAUUGCAAUGACUUUUAUUGCCCUGAGUUCAAAUGACCUUAUGUCAAGUGUUAACUGCACUAUGUCAUGACCUUAUGUCAAGUGUUAACUGCACUAUGUCAUGACCUUAUGUCAAGUGUUAACUGCACUAUGUCAUGACCUUAUGUCAAGUGUUAACUGCACUAUGUCAUGACGUUAUGUCAAGUGUUGACUGCACUAUGUCAUGACCUUAUGUCAAGUGUUGACUGCACUAUGUAUGUAGUUUAGUGUUUAGACGGCUGAUUUGAACAUGCCUGUGUGUUCACUUUGAGCGUGUUCUCUAAAAAGACCUUUUGAAUUGGAGAGCUGCUGUUGCUAAGGUUCAUGUAGCAUCACGUAGUUUGAGGCUCAUCAGUAUUUGCCUUACACUGUUCCUGUAUUUGGUUUGCUGUGAUCUACUCAGGUGUCUGGUUUGAUGCAUUUGUGUGCCUCUUCUUGAUGCAUAUUACUGGUUUUGUAUUUUAUGGACAUGCAGAAUGUAAGAUGUAAUCUAUGUUCUUUAUUUUUGUAUUUUCAUACUUAUUUCUCUAAAACAGUGAAAAUACUGUGGUAUGUUUUCUCCCAAUACAUAAGGGGUAUGUACAAGCUCAGGUCUUAUGGAAAGCUGUCUUGUGUUACAUCACUUCGUUGGCAUUUGUCAGCGCUGUAAGGCUGUCUAAUUUGAGAAUUACAUUUUACAAUAAACAAAUAAAUAAAAGCAAUAAGACACGUGUCUCUGAUUUGCUGGUAGGGGGACCGAUCUUUUAGUAUCCGUUUGACACGGGGGCGGGAAGUACAGGUGUUUGGGCGUGCCUGCGUGCCUGCGUGCCUGCGUGUGCGUAGGUGUGCAUCGGUCUUUCAUACAUUUACCAAACAUUACACUCUCCUCUUCUACUGAGAGGACAAAGUCCUGCUCCAGAUUACAGAUUAACCACAACCUCGACUACAUCUGUGUGUGCAGACGUGGCAGUGCGCAGAUCUCUAGGAGCGGGCAGACCUCUUGAAAAAUUAGCUUUUCUCGUCUUCGUCUUCACUGAUCCCACCAUACGCAGAUCUUCAAGCAGAUAUCAGACCGCACCAAUCCUGAGGUUGAUUUCUCUGGAAAACCACCAAUGGAGCCUGACACUGAAACACAUCUGUCCACUGAGAGAGGAGUGGAGGGUGCCAGUCAAAAACCACUCCCUGCUCCACCCAGCUGUGUGUCCAUGAAGACAGACAAAUCCUUAAAGGAAGAGGCUAUCCACUCUGAACCUGGGAUGAUGUCAGGCAGACCACCAUCUCCAGUGCCCAGCUGUGUGUCCAUGAAGAGCGAUCACUCCACUGGAGGCCGUCCAAACAUGAGAGAAGACCAUGUCCCCUCUGGUCCAAGGUCAGAGACUCAUUUUAGUGCUGUCCUGUAACUUCAACUUCUACCACUGUGACACAUGACAUAUUAGAAGCCAUUAGUCUCAUUUUGUUUUCUUAAGAGCUGAUUCCCAAGAGGUGUUUAUGUUCCUUCUUUUCAGGCUGAAGUCAGGUAGACCACCAUCUCCAGUGCCCAGCGGUGUGUCCAUGAAGAGUGAUCACUCCACUGGGGACCGUCCAAACAUGAGAGAAGACCAUGUCCCCUCUGUUCCAAGGUCAGUGACUCAUUUUAGUGGCUAUUGCUGGAUAAUCCAGUCACACUGUUCUCCCACCUUUCAGCUUUUUAUUUGUGCACACAGUGUACCCUGAAACCACCACUAGGCAACCACUUGCUUUCAAAUAUCAACAGGCAUUGGGUUAACUAUCUCCUACAUGAAUUAAGUUACUACAGUUAUGUGCUCAGAUACCUGUUUGAAAGUAAGCCCCCCUUUCAAUUUCAUAUUGCCCAUGCAC